UAUUAUAUUGAGGACCUAUACUGAGA
rnacentral:piRNA from 1 species